rnacentral:rRNA from 1 species
CCCUUAGAUGUCCUGGGCUGCACGCGCGCUACACUGAUGAAUUCAACGAGCACUAACCUGUGCAGAAAUGUUCGGGUAAUCUUGUGAAAUUUCAUCGUGAUGGGGAUUGAUUAUUGCAAUUAUUAAUCAUAAACGAGGAAUGCCUAGUAAGCGUGAGUCAUCAGCUCACGUUGAUUACGUCCCUGCCCUUUGUACACACCGCCCGUCGCUCCUACCGAUUGAAUGUGCUGGUGAAAAGUUCGGAUUGGGAAUAGGAGACGGCAACGUAUCCUGUUUCUGAGAAAAUCUUUAAACCCUCCCAUUUAGAGGAAGGAGAAGUCGUAACA